GUUAACGUCCAUAUCUAGAUCUUUAUCGAGAAUUUUCUCCAGUUUCCAGUAGGUUGAUUCUUUGUCAAAUCCAAUAGUUCCUGAUUGAUCAAAUGAAGCUGUGUACUUUUUGGAAGGGACGGCAGAGAAUUCAUCGUAAGAAGCCAGAGUCUCACAAUCCGUAUAAUCAACAACUAGCUCUUGUACGAUAGAGCUAGCAUAAAGUAAUCCUCCUCCUAAUGGACCAAAUAUAAUUCCUAACACAAAAAAAAGUGGAAGCACGAUUUUAGGGGUUAACAAUGGCUGCCAAGACU